rnacentral:rRNA from 1 species
CCUACGAGUGGCAGCAGUGAGGAAUAUUGGUCAAUGGGCGCGCGCCUGAACCAGCCAAGUAGCGUGAAGGAUGACUGCCCUACGGGUUGUAAACUUCUUUUAUCAAGGAAUAAAGUGAGGUACGUGUGCCUUUUUUUAUGUACUUUAUGAAUAAGGAUCGGCUAACUCCGUGCCAGCAGCCGCGGUCAUACGGAGGAUCCGAGCGUUAUCCGGAUUUAUUGGGUUUACAGGGGGCGUAGAUGGGUUGUUAAGUCAGUUGUGAAAGUUUGGGGCUCAACCGGAAAAUUGCAAUUGAUACUGGCAGUCUUGAGUACAGUUGAGGUAGGCGGAAUUCGUGGUGUAGCGGUGAAAUGCUUAGAUAUCACGAAGAACGCCGAUUGCGAAGGCAGCUUACUAAACUGCCACUGACAUUGAUGCUCGAAAGUGUGGGUAUCAAACAGGAUUAGAGACCCGAGUAGUC